UCUGCAGGUUGAUAUUUAAGUCAGGGGUGAAAUCCCAGAGCUCAACUCUGGAACUGCCUUUGAUACUGGGUAUCUUGAGUAUGGAAGAGGUAAGUGGAAUUCCGAGUGUAGAGGUGAAAUUCGUAGAUAUUCGGAGGAACACCAGUGGCGAAGGCGGCUUACUGGUCCAUUACUGACGCUGAGGUGCGAAAGCGUGGGGAGCAAACA
rnacentral:rRNA from 1 species